UACGUAGGGUGCGAGCGUUAAUCGGAAUUACUGGGCGUAAAGCGUGCGCAGCGGCGCCGCAAGUCAGGCGUGAAAUCCCCGAGCUUAACUUGGGAAUGGCGCUUGAAACUACGGUGCUGGAGUGUGGCAGAGGGAGGUGGAAUUCCACGUGGAGCGGUGAAAAUGCGUAGAGAUUGGAAAGAACACCGAUGGCGAAGGCACUUUACUGGGCUA
rnacentral:rRNA from 1 species